AGAUUGAACGCUAGCGGCAUGCCUAACACAUGCAAGUCGAACGGUAACAGGCCCUUCGGGGUGCUGACGAGUGGCGGACGGGUGAGUAAUGCGUAGGAAUCUACCCACGAGUGGGGGAUAGCCCGGAGAAAUCCGGAUUAAUACCGCAUAUGCCCUACGGGGUAAAGCGGGGGAUCGUAAGACCUCGCGCUGGUGGAUGAGCCUAUGUCCGAUUAGCUGGUUGGUGGGGUAACGGCCCACCAAGGCGACGAUCGGUAGCUGGUCUGAGAGGAUGAUCAGCCACACUGGGACUGAGACACGGCCCAGACCUCCGUACGGGCGGCAGC
rnacentral:rRNA from 1 species